GACGAACGCUGGCGGCGUGCUUAACACAUGCAAGUCGAACGGAAAGGCCCUGCUUGCAGGGUGCUCGAGUGGCGAACGGGUGGGUAACACGUGGGUGAUCUGCCCCUUACUUUGGGAUAAGCCUGGGAAACUGGGUCUAAUACUGGAUAGGACCAUGCUGUAGGUGGUGUGGUGGAAAGAUUAGUUUCGGUAAGGGAUGAGCUCGCGGCCUAUCAGCUUGUUGGUGGGGUAAUGGCCUACCAAGGCGUCGACGGGUAGCCGGCCUGAGAGGGUGGACGGCCACAUUGGGACUGAGAUACGGCCCAGACUCCUACGGGAGGCAGCAGUGGGGAAUAUUGCACAAUGGGCGCAAGCCUGAUGCAGCGACGCCGCGUGGGGGAUGACGGCCUUCGGGUUGUAAACUCCUUUCAGCCAUGACGAAGCCCUUGUGGUGACGGUAGUGGUAGAAGAAGCACCGGCUAACUACGUG
rnacentral:rRNA from 1 species